GAUGAACGCUGGCGGCGUGCCUAAUACAUGCAAGUCGAGCGAACAGAUAAGGAGCUUGCUCCUUUGACGUUAGCGGCGGACGGGUGAGUAACACGUGGGUAACCUACCUAUAAGACUGGAAUAACUCCGGGAAACCGGGGCUAAUGCAGGAUAACAUGUUGAACCGCAUGGUUCUACAGUGAAAGGCGGCUUUGCUGCCACUUAUAGAUGGACCCGCGCCGUAUUAGCUAGUUGGUGAGGUAACGGCUCACCAAGGCAACGAUACGUAGCCGACCUGAGAGGGUGAUCGGCCACACUGGAACUGAGACACGGUCCAGACUCCUACGGGAGGCAGCAGUAGGGAAUCUUCCGCAAUGGGCGAAAGCCUGACGGAGCAACGCCGCGUGAGUGAUGAAGGUCUUCGGAUCGUAAAACUCUGUUAUUAGGGAAGAACAAAUGCGUAAGUAACUGUGCGCGUCUUGACGGUACCUAAUCAGAAAGCCACGGCUAACUACGUG
rnacentral:rRNA from 1 species